rnacentral:tRNA from 1 species
CAUUAGAUGGCUGAAAGUAAGUAAUGGUCUCUUAAACCAUUUUAUAGUAUCUAACGUUUACUUCUAAUGA